rnacentral:rRNA from 1 species
AUACGGAGGAUGCGAGCGUUAUCCGGAUUUAUUGGGUUUAAAGGGAGCGUAGGUGGGAUAUUAAGUCAGUUGUGAAAGUUUGCGGCUCAACCGUAAAAUUGCAGUUGAUACUGGGUGUCUUGAGUACAGUAGAGGCAGGCGGAAUUCGUGGUGUAGCGGGGGAAUGCUUAGAUAUCACGAAGAACUCCGAUUGCGAAGGCAGCCUGCUGGACUGUAACUGACGCUGAUGCUCGAAAGUGUGGGUAUCAAACAGGAUUAGAUACCCUGGUAGUCCACACAGUAAACGAUGAAUACUCGCUGUUUGCGAUAUACAGUAAGCGGCCAAGCGAAAGCGUUAAGUAUUCCACCUGGGGAGUACGCCGGCAACGGUGAAACUCAAAUGAAUUGGCGGGG